CCGCGGUGUUUACAUUGUUGCUUACCUAUAUUAUGUGCCAGGGUUGAGUCGAUUUAGACGGAGGGUUAUCCAUCUGCUGCUGUAGCCUCUGCCAUUGUAUCAGAUUUCCUUCUUGAUAGUUCUCAAUGAAUUUGGAGUUUCGCUGUAACCCGAGCUUGUAACUCAGUGAGUCGGUGAAUAAAUGCGAAAGUAUUUGUUAGGGUUUUAGUGAACCUUUUCUUUCAGUCUCCAUCAGCUUCUUUGAGGUAUUUGAAUGGUUUCCCAUUUGCACUGAUAAAGGAAAAUGGAUUCUUUUGGUUGUUUUUUCGAUUGCGUGUAAUCUGUUUGAUUAUUUUCCUGAAAGAAAAACAGAUGUCAUUUUUUUGCCCCUUGUGGUUGAAAGCAAGUGAAUUGUUUUAUCUGGGUGUUGUCAAAUUUCUUAACUUUAAGUUUGAACUUCUGGAGAAGUUUUAUUAAUUUCCCCCCUCCUUUUCUUAUUUGUUUAACUGCUUCUUUAUAUUUGGUGUCAUCACAUUCGAAAUGUUAGUGGAGAUCUGAAAGUUGCUGUAAACUUGUAAGUUUCGUUAUUUUUCUCUCUUUUGGACUGUGCAGUCUUGAUUAUUGGUGACUGGGAUUUUGGAGAGACAAUAGAGCUGCUGCCACAGUUUUGAAACUGUAUCAAAUGAAAAAAUAGACAGUACAAUGCAAUUGCUCUUAGGCUUUGGAGUUCGUAGAGAAAAAAAAUUAGUGAAAUAUCCUUUUGGAAGUAAGCCUUUAAAUACAUGAAUGAAAAACUCAUUUCUUAGGAAGUUUUGGGAGAUGUGACCUGGCGAAAUUUUGAUAGUUUAGCAUGAAUGAAGGACAUACUUUGCAUCUAGAAUCUCCUUCAGAAAUGAUUAAGAUCAAGAAUACUGGAAAAAAAAUCAAAUAAAAUAAAAUGAUUAUAUCUAUUUUUCUCUUGUAUUUGGCCUUUAAAUACUUUUCAGCUUAAUUGAGCAAGAGCUAUCGUAGAUAUAGUAAAUAUGAAUGUUGCAUUUAAUCUUGUUACAUAAUUGGAAAUGCUGGGAGUUAUUUCUUCUUGUUGACUGAUUUUGUUUACAAUUUCUUAGCUACCAAAUAGAUUCUUAUGUGAAAAUGCAUAUGAUUUUACAUGACUUCCUUUUGACUUCUGUAACUUUCUGUGUAAAUGUUGGAAUUUCUUGUGUAACUGCUCCUUACAGGAGAACUCUUUCUCAAAUUACUAUUCUGUUUCGCUGUUCCUUUGAAUAGGAAUGAGUCGAUUACAGGGACAAAAACGAAAACAGACAGAUUCAAAUUCUCCAGCUCAAUCUCUGACGGAACAAGAACGUAUACUCUAUAAUGUGAUACGAAGCAAACAAGAUAUGGGCAUAUGGACACGAGACAUGAAAAGAGAAACCAACCUUCCAGACAAUGUGGUUAAUAAAUCCCUAAAGGUGCUUCAGGCCAAGAAUUUGAUAAAAGAGGUGGUAAACAUCCAAAACAAGGGGAGGAAGCAUUACAUGGCAACAGAAUUUGAACCAUCAAAGGAAAUCACUGGAGGGGCAUGGUAUGUUGAAGGGAACCUUGAUACAGAGUUUAUACAGAUUCUGAAAGAGCAGUGCACAAAGCAAAUAUACAAGCUGAAAGUUGCCACAUUAGAGGGAGUUACAGACUCCAUCAAAAGGAGUGGAGUCUUGAAUGUUGAGUUAACAAAGCAGCAAAUUGAUGAAAUUUUGAAGGCGUUAGUUUUGGACAAUGAGAUCAUAGAACUUAAGAGUAAUGGCAUGGGUGAAUUUGCUUCUAUUCCAGUUGGCAAAAUUUGUUAUAAAUGCAUUAGUAAAGGGAACAUUGGAGGGGAACCAAAAACUGGGGCAAUGGCUUCUAUACCAUGUGGAGUUUGUCCACGGAUACGUCAAUGUACACCUGAUGGCAUCAUCUCUCCUCAAACUUGUGUCUACUAUAGCAAGUGGUUGGAUUUUUAAUUUGAUUGUUUCAGCUAAAAAAAUUCAGGCAUGGUUUUGCAUAUUUAAUCACCCCCAAAGUUUCAUUUAAUGGAUACCAUCAAUAGUCUCUUGAGUGAUUGAAACAUUUAGUAUGGCUUCUUGAGAGUUUUCUCCCCAUUUUGUUUUUCUGUAUUUAUGGUUGAUUGGAAUGCAAUGCUAUUAUGCCUAUCAUUCUCAGUCUUGACACAUUGGUCUGUUUGAUUGAACAUUGAAGUUUCACCUUAGUCUCCCAGCAGUUGCAAUAAAAUUUUGUUGCAAUACUGUCUUUGCUCUUUGGGUGAUGUGGGUUAGA
rnacentral:misc_RNA from 1 species